GCCAGUGUGGCGUAGUGGUUAGCGCAUCUGCCUAGUGAGCAAGAGACCAGGGUUCGAAUCCCGGCCUUGGUA
rnacentral:tRNA from 1 species